CCUACGGGAGGCAGCAGUUGGGAAUCUUGGACAAUGGGGGAAACCCUGAUCCAGCCAUGCCGCGUGAGUGAUGAAGGCCUUCGGGUUGUAAAACUCUUUCGACGGGGACGAUAAUGACGGUACCCGUAGAAGAAGCUCCGGCUAACUUCGUGCCAGCAGCCGCGGUAAUACGAAGGGGGCUAGCGUUGUUCGGAAUUACUGGGCGUAAAGCGCGCGCAGGCGGUCUUCCAAGUCAGUGGUGAAAGCCCGGAGCUCAACUCCGGAACUGCCAUUGAAACUGUAAGACUUGAGGACGAGAGAGGUGAGUGGAAUUCCCAGUGUAGAGGUGAAAUUCGUAGAUAUUGGGAAGAACACCGGUGGCGAAGGCGGCUCACUGGCUCGUAUCUGACGCUCAGGCGCGACAGCGUGGGGAUCAAACAGGAUUAGAUACCCUGGUAGUCCACGCCGUAAACGAUGAAUGCUAGCCGUUGGGUAGCUUGCUAUCUAGUGGCGCAGCUACGACAUAAGUACACUCCGUCCGUCGGGGUAGGUACGGGCCGGCCGAACGGUUAGGUAAACGUACGAAAGGAAAGUUAAGGUACGGUCGUUGAGUACGUUGCCGAACGGACGACCGACCGAGGGGAGGUUAGG
rnacentral:rRNA from 1 species